CAGCAGCCACGGUAAAACGUAGGGUGCAAGCGUUAAUCGGAAUUACUGGGCGUAAAGCGUGCGCAGGCGGUUAUAUAAGACAGAUGUGAAAUCCCCGGGCUCAACCUGGGAACUGCAUUUGUGACUGUAUAGCUAGAGUACGGCAGAGGGGGAUGGAAUUCCGCGUGUAGCAGUGAAAUGCGUAGAUAUGCGGAUGAACACCGAUGGCGAAGGCAAUCCCCUGGGCCUGUACUGACGCUCAUGCACGAAAGCGUGGGGAGCAAACAGGAUUAGAUACCCCGGUAGUCCCUGUCUCUUAUAC
rnacentral:rRNA from 1 species